AUGCCGCGUAAAAGAACAUCCAAAGGAAAGGAAAAAGUUGAAUCCUCAUUGGAUAUCGCACGCACCAGAGAGCUUGAAGGAAGAUUAAGGAGAUUUCUUACCCCGAGAUUGCAGAUCGCUUUUCAAACAUCAUUAGCCACUAGGCAACAAUUCUAGAGAGGCUCGUCAAGCUGGAUGAUUUUUCGUGUUUUAAGAUAGUUACAUUGGUCCAACUUUGUGGAUGGGAGAAAGUGGUGGAACGGCCUCACCCAAUUUAUGAAAGUUUGGUUAGGGAGUUAUAUGCAAACUUCAAUGUUGAAAUAGUUACUUUAGGGUUAGAACAUCUACAUCAGACAUGGGUGAGAGGAAAAUGAAUCAUGUUCUCACCUGAUGUUAUACAUGACUAUUACCAACUGAGUUGGAACGAUGUGGUCCCCAUCCCAGGUAAUUUCAAUUAGAAAGAAGUAGCUGAGGUGCUCUUGGGACGAGAAAAUGCAUGGCCCCUCCCAGCAGUAGAUUGGUACCAGAUCGAGCUCACGUUAUCUAUAGCUAUCCUAUGGCUAUUUAUGUGUCACAAUAUUGAACCCAUCUUACAUUGGACAACAUUCACUAAUUCGAAGGCAAGUUUCAUAUAUCAUCUGGUUUGGGGAAACAAAAUUGAUCUGGCCACCUACAUUUAUAAUCAAAUACACACAAUUGAAACAUGAGGUGACAUAUAUAGUUCAAUGAUAUUCCCGAGCCUAAUAAUUGGGAUUUGUGGGGCUGCAGGUGUCACUAUCCCAUCAGGGGAAGCUUUUGAGAAACCUAGCCCUUUCAUCAAGCAUACUACAAUAGAGGCUCGGGAUCGAGCCAGGGAAAAGUAUCAAGAAAAGCCAGAGAAUGAGCGACAUAGGUAGCAACAGGCUAAGGCAGGACAUGCAGCUGAAGAUAUAGAGAUGGCACAAGCUCCUCUAGCACCUGUUGAUGUUGAUACACAACUAUUGAGGUAGAUGUUCGCUACUAUGAUCGGGUCCAGUCGGGACAUUCAAAGCCUUCAGCAAACAUUUGGGGCUAUGAGUACAAACAUCUAGCAGGCGCGGAACAACAUAGCAAUCACAUGAAACUUCGCAUCAAAUGUCAGUAGAGAGUUCCUUGCAACACGGAUAGAGGUUGACACCAUUAAUAGGAGAUUGGGCAUGUACGUCGGCUGGAUAGACGACAUCCAAUGGAGAGCAAAUGAGACAUGGGACCAUCUAGGCAGUUUGGAGACUAGGGUUCAAGCUAUGCAAGUAGAGAAUGCCAGCAAUCCGAACUAUUGAGGCAGAUCUUGUCCCGCUUACCUCCACCACUUAGAGAUGACACAACAAGUCUUAGCUUUUCGUCAGCACCACUAUAUUGAUCAUGGGAGUGUCGAAUAACCCACUUUUGUACUUGCAUUUUUUAUUUUGUACUUCAAAUUAUGUCUUUUUAAACUUGCACGUAUUCAAACAUCGAGGACAAUAUAUUGUAUAAGUUUGGGAAAGGUGGC
rnacentral:lncRNA from 1 species